UCAACUAGAGUAGGAUUACCAACUUGGGGAAAGGAUUCAUCCUCAACAAUGGAUUAGGAUUUCAAUUUUCCAUUUGCAGCCUGGGAAAAAGAUGUGAGCUACAUACCAUGUUAAGGUGCUUAACAAUCAAGGCAUGACCAAAAUGUUGACUACUUUUUAUACAACCAUGAAUUUCCAAGGCCUACCAUGUGCUUCAGGCAAAUUUUCACCAGUAACUCUUUCUAACCAUCAGCCAUCUAGAUACUCCUGCAAUCACCAAAGGAAACAGAAUACAGCCACCUACAAGAAAUACAUGAACAAAAGAACCAAAAAAAAAAAGUUAGAGCUUGUAAUGUCAGCCCAUAAUACAAGCACAAAAGAAAGAUAAUAUUUUCUCUGUUAAUGAAAAGCACAGAAAUCUCUUCGUCAUGGUAAAAAGGUUAUAAAAAUCAAAAGGGCCACCACUUGCCUGCUAACAAGAGACUUCAUACCGAAAGCUGCAGUUUACACGAGUUCAGAAAAAAAAACAAAAUAAAAGCAGACCAAGAGCAUGUUAUAUAUAUAGAUUAUGCACAUGCAAGAACCGACACUGCACAAAGAUUGCAUUGAAAAGAAAAACACAUACAAGGCAGCUAGUGAAAUGUCUUCUUUCGAAGUAACAAUCCUGAACUUUCUUUGUAGGUCGAUUGCUAGGCUGACAGAUGUUAUAUACCAGCCAUAAGUCUUACAUGACCAUUGGUGCAUACCAAAGCCAAGAAAUAACAAAUAUCCGCAAUACUAACAUGCGACAGUAACUACUAAAUAUGCUUGGUUUAUCCCAAAAGCUUGAACUUCAUUUUUUUAAAAAAAGAGUCUGAUCACAUUCUAAGUGUUGUAUUGUAAUCAUGAUCUGCAGAAGGUUGGGAAAAAAAUGAACUCAUAAACUGAAGUCGCAGCAGCAAGAGACAAGCUAACAACGAACAGGAAGCCAGGGGCUUGAGCAACAUUAUGCUGAAGUAAACCAUGUCCUAGCCACUGGCUUGAUAAAGACGACACUUGUUACAAAUUAUGAGCCCUUUAACGUCAAGUCUGUCAUGAGACAAUUGAAAGAAAUUCCUAGGUAGAGAGAAUGGAUACCCACCUACAGGCAAAUCAAAGUGAAAAUCAAAUAUUACAUAUGGGUAUAGAUCAAGGAGACUCAUUCCUAGAAGAAUAUAUUAGAAACAUACAUUCUUUAAGAAUUUGCUGUCCAAGAAUUUCUCAAAUGUUUAUAUAAU
rnacentral:lncRNA from 1 species